AGCUUUGCGCAGUGGCAGUAUCGUAGCCAAUGAGGUUUAUCCGAGGCGCGAUUAUUGCUAAUUGAAAUCAUCUAAAAAUCUCUGUCUGCCAUUAUAGGUAUCUGAGUAUGCGAUAUAUCUCAUCCACUCUCCUGGGU